GACGAACGCUGGCUGCGUGCUUAACACAUGCAAGUCGAACGCUGAAACCCUGGUGCUUGCACCGGGGUGGAUGAGUGGCGAACGGGUGAGUAACACGUGAGUAACCUGCCCCCGACUUCGGGAUAAGCCCGGGAAACUGGGUCUAAUACCGGAUAUGAGCGCCCCUCGCAUGAGGGAUGCUGGAAAGUCUUUUCGGUUGGGGAUGGGCUCGCGGCCUAUGAGUUUGUUGGUGAGGUAAUGGCUCACCAAGACGACGACGGGGAGCCGGCCUGGGAGGGCGAACGGCCACACUGGGACUGAGACACGGCGCAGACUCCUACGGGAGGCAGCAGUGGGGAAUAUUGCACAAUGGGGGAAACCCUGAUGCAGCGACGCAGCGUGCGGGAUGACGGCCUUCGGGUUGUAAACCGCUUUCAGCAGGGAAGAAGCCCCUUGGGGUGACGGUACCUGCAGAAGAAGUACCGGCUAACUACGUGCCAGCCGCCGCCGUAA
rnacentral:rRNA from 1 species